rnacentral:rRNA from 1 species
CGGACGGGUGAGUAACGCGUGAGAAUCUGCCUUCAGGUCUGGGAUAACAGCUGGAAACGGCUGCUAAUACCGGAUGAGCCGAGAGGUAAAAGCAAAAGUGCCUGAAGAUGAGCUCGCGUCUGAUUAGCUAGUUGGUGGGGUAAGAGCCUACCAAGGCGACGAUCAGUAGCUGGUCUGAGAGGAUGAUCAGCCACACUGGGACUGAGACACGGCCCAGACUCCUACGGGAGGCAGCAGUGGGGAAUUUUCCGCAAUGGGCGCAAGCCUGACGGAGCAAGACCGCGUGCGGGAGGACGGCCUAUUGGUUGUAAACCGCUUUUGAUAGGGAAGAAGUUCUGACGGUACCUAUCGAAUCAGCAUCGGCUAACUCCGUGCCAGCAGCCGCGGUAAUACGGAGGAUGCAAGCGUUAUCCGGAAUUAUUGGGCGUAAAGCGUCCGUAGGUGGUUGUUCAAGUCUGCUGUUAAAGCGUGCGGCUUAACCGCAUACCAGCAGUGGAAACUGGGCGACUAGAGUGCGGUAGGGGUCAGGGGAAUUCCCAGUGUAGCGGUGAAAUGCGUAGAUAUUGGGAAGAACACCGGUGGCGAAAGCGCCUGACUGGACCUGCACUGACACUGAGGGACGAAAGCUAGGGGAGCGAAAGGGAUUAGAUACCCCUGUAGUC